rnacentral:rRNA from 1 species
AUGAAAAUCUUAUAUUCUCUGAGGAGGUUCUACCACGUGGAAACGCUCUUUAAUGGAACUUUCGUUUUAGCUGGUCGUGACCAAGAAACCACCAGCUUUGCUUGGUGGGCUGGGAAUGCCAGACUUAUCAAUUUGUCCGGUAAACUACUUGGAGCUCAUGUAGCCCAUGCCGGAUUAAUCGUAUUCUGGGACGGAGCAAUGAACCUAUUUGAAGUGGCCCAUUUCAUACCAGAAAAGCCCAUGUAUGAACAAGGGUUGAUUUUACUUGCACACUUAGCUACUCUAGGCUUCGGUGGCAUUUAUCACGCGCUUCUGGGACCCGAGACUCUUGAGGAAUCUUUUCCAUUCUUUGGUUAUGUCUGGAAAGAUAGAGAUAAAAUGACUACAAUUUUGGGUAUUCACUUAAUUUUGUUAGGUCUAGGUGCUUUUCUUCUAGUACUCAAGGCUCUUUAUUUUGGUGGUGUAUAUGAUACUUGGGCCCCUAGGGGGGAGAUGUAA